CCAAGAGAGGGGCUUCGCGCCCCCGAAGGUUUCGGCCUUCGACUCUUCACCCCGUGUCUACGUUACCUCUGUUGCUUUGGCGAGCCCUGGGGACCAGAGGUCCUCACGCCGGCCGCGGGCUUGAUUGCCCCGGCCGUCGAGCGCCCGCCAGAGGCCGUUUAUAACUCGUUUAUCCGUGACGUCCGAGUCUCAAUCAAAAUAACAUAAAACUUUCAACAACGGAUCUCUUGGUUCUGGCAUCGAUGAAGAACGCAGCGAAAUGCGAUAAGUAAUGUGAAUUGCAGAAUUCAGUGAAUCAUCGAAUCUUUGAACGCACAUUGCGCCCCUCGGCAUUCCGGGGGGCAUGCCUGUUCGAGCGUCAUUACACCCCUCAAGCUCAGCUUGGUAUUGGGAGCUCGCCCGCGAAGGGCCCCCCCCGAAAAGCAGUGGCGGUCCGGCGCGGCUCCGAGCGUAGUAAAGUUUUCUCCCGCUCUGGAGGUCCGCGUCGCGGCUGGCCAAGGACCCUCAUACUCUCCACGGUUGACCUCGGAUCAGGUAGGGAUACCCGCUGAAC
rnacentral:rRNA from 1 species